ACCAGCAACUCCCUCCACCUGAACUGAACUGAACUCUUCACCAUCGUAAGACUGUAUCCAUUUACCCCUAGACUUUGAGAGAGCUUGGUUUUGAUUCCUAUUUCCACACUUCUGUACAUAUCAUUGCUAACCCGUUUCAUGUAUUUGCGUUUUACAGUACUGUAUCGCUUAGUUUACUAAUAAUCACUAUUAGUGACAGUAAUACCAGACUCCAAGGUGCAUUCUAAUUCUGCUGGUUGGGUAACCCGGUCACGGGGUGUGCGACAAGACGCGCUCCGGCCUUGCCAAACCCGUGAGAUUGAGACGGCUCUCCCACCCCGAACCCCGGUGAGCGUGUGGGUGCCGCGAAGUUAGCUACCCGGGUACAACUCUCGGCGCCAAGAAAUGGCAGGCAGCACACCGCGUGCGACGAAAGGAAUCAUACUUAACUACAGGGUAGAGCUGUUUCUGCGCAACUGCACAGACUUUUAAACACGGGUCGCACGACUGUCGCCAAGAAAUACGGUCGUUCGUUUCUCCAGCGUCACCCUGCCGAGCCACCAGCUUACGUUUCCGCCUUAUAAACAAAAACGAGAGCUUCCAUAAACGAGAAAAUGAGGGAAAAAAGGAAGAUUCUUUCCCAAAUUUUUGCCAAGCAGGCUCCGUCUCCGGAAAAGUCUUAAUAUGACGCCUGCUGCGUCUUAUUUUGAGGAACGAAAGGACUGUUUCAUACCCACAUGAACUCCUCUCUGGUGACAAACCUCUCCUCCCCUUCCUUCCCUCUCCCGACUCCCCGCCUCUGACGGCUCGCUCAGAGUCCAAAACGUUCGCGGCAAGCUUGUCAUCCACGCCAGUACAUGCAGCCCCGCGGUCCGCUUGCUUUCGCGGCGAGCACAAAGGAGCACAACGAGAGACCGCGCCCAAACCACCCAUCGGCAAAAGACAACAAACAACGCAAAUACGGAAAGGGAGAAAUAUAAAGUUGUACAGGACCCUGGUCAGACCCCACUUGGAGUACUGUGCUCAGUUCUGGUCGCCUCACUACAGGAAGGAUGUGACGGCCCUAUCUGGUAUCGUUGCAGGACAAGAUAUUAAGCUGAAGGCAUCUGAUCUGCAAAACAUUUUGGCCUUCAGCUCUCUUACAGCUCGGAGGGACACUUUAGUUCAAAUGGAGAGAUGUUUUCCCUCCGACUCAUGCUCAAUGGUCAUGCGACGUUACAUCAUGUCUGGAUUUAGAGAAGAUUCGUUGUUCAAUUUCUGAACCUAGCCAAGACUCUCAAACACUGUGGGGACCUUUUCUGAAUUACUUUCAAAACCUUCAAUUCGUUGUUUGAACUCAGCUGUUGGAUAUUAUUGAUUUUUAUUACGCAAGAAGGUACUUCAACUUCUUUUUCUUAUUGAACAGCUUCGGUAGAGGUUAGAUUCUUUUGUUUUGCAAUAAAUUAGUAUAUUUCGAUAUAAAUAUUGAUCAGGUUACAUGAAUACGGGAUAAUGAGAUUGUUUUUAUGAACAGAUAUAAUGUUUUAAAAUUUUUUUUGAUCUUUUAUAUACACUUUCUUGUACUCUGUAUUCCUCUACAUAGAAACUAAUAAAAAUAUUGGAAAAGUAAAAAGAAAGGGUGCAGAGGAGAUUUACAAGGAUGUUGCCUGGAUCGGGGAGCACACCUUAUGAGAAAAGGCUGAGUGAACUCGGCCUUUUCUCCUCGGAGCGAUGGAGGAUGAGAGGUGUACAAGACGAUGAGAGGCAUUGAUCGUGUAGAUAGUCAGAGGCUUUUCCCCAGGGCUGAAGUGGCUAAUGCGAGAGGGCACAGGUUUAAGGUGCUUGGAAGCAGGUACAGAGGCGAUGUCAGGGGUGAGUUAUCAUGUUUGCUAUUGUGUGCUGGGGCAGCAGACAACAAACAGAAUCAACAAACUCAUUCGUAAGGCCAGUGAUGUGGUGGGGGUGGAACUGGACUCUCUGACGGUGGUGUCUGAAAAGAGGAUGCUGUCCAAGUUGCAUGCCAUCUUGGACAAUGACUCCCAUCCACUCCAUAAUGUACUGGUCAGGCACAGGAGUACAUUCAGCCAGAGACUCAUUCCACCGAGGUGCAACACUGAGCGUCAUAGGAAGUCAUUCCUGCCUGUGGCCAUCAAACUUUACAACUCCUCCCUCGGAGUGUCAGACACCCUGAGCCAACAGGCUGGUCCUGGACUUAUUUCCACUGGGCAUAAUCAACAUUAUUAUUUAAUUAUUUAUGGUUUUAUAUUGCUAUAUUUCCUCACUAUUCUUGGUUGGUGCGGCUGUAACGAAACCCAAUUUCCCGCGGGAUCAAUAAAGUAUGUCUGUCUGUCUGUUACUCAGAGAGUGGUGAGUGUGUGGAAUGGGCUGCCGGCGACGGUGGUGAAGGCGGAUACGAUAGGGUCUUUUAAGAGGCUCCUGGAUAGGUACGUGGAGCAUAGAAAAAUAGAGGGGUUGUGGGUGAAGCCUAGUAAUUUCUGAGGUAGGAACAUGUCUGGCACAGCUUUGUGGGCCGAAGGGCCUGUAUUGUGCUGUAGGUUUUCUGUUUCUAAAAUGACAGCAAUAAAUAUCAAUCACAUGAAAUCAAGAGAGUCCACAGGCUGUGGGAACAGUUCAGUGAUGGGGAGAGUGAAGUUACCCCCUCCGAUUCGAAAGCCGGAUGUUCGAGGGGUGUUAAUUGUCCCAAAACCUGGCUCCCCGCCUCAGUUCGCUCCAACGUUUAUCAGUCAGCGGCUUUUAAGUUUAACCUGCUGAGUUGCUCUCGGCAACGCUGGCCCUCUUCCUCUGAGGGUGAAGUUAGGAAAAUGAGACCGAUGUGCAGUAACGACAGCUGCUUCCCCCGCUACAGGAAGGGUGACGAGUCUACAGGGGGCGCAGAAGAGGUUUGCCAGGGUGCCGCCCGGUUUAGAGGGUCAGCGGUGGGACAAACCUGGGACGCUUCCUCUGGAGCGGCAGAGGCUGAGGGGAGAUCUGAUUGAUGGC